rnacentral:RNase_P_RNA from 1 species
CAACUGUGCCGGGCAACCGCGGGGGCGAGGACCGAAAGGUCGCUUCCGAGGAAAGUCCGAGCUCCACAGGGCAGGAUGCUGGGUAACGCCCAGCGGGGGCGACCCCAGGGAAAGUGCCACAGAAAAGGAAACGCCCAACGGAACCCGCCCGGGUUUCGCGGCAAAGCUGAAAAGGUGCGGUAAGCGCGCACCAGCGGCCGGGUGACCGGUCGGCUCGGCAAACCCCAUCCGGAGCAAGACCGAAUAGGAGGGAGAUAGGGUGGCCCGCCCUUCCCUCGGGUAGGUCGCUGGAGACGCCGCGGCAACCGGCGUCCUAGAUAGAUGGUUGCCACCCCGUGGAUCGCGAGGUUCCGGGGUACAGAACUCGGCUUAUAGGUACAGUUUUCAA